rnacentral:rRNA from 1 species
GUGGGGAAUAUUGGACAAUGGGCGCAAGCCUGAUCCAGCCAUGCCGCGUGAGUGAUGAAGGCCCUAGGGUUGUAAAGCUCUUUCACCGGUGAAGAUAAUGACGGUAACCGGAGAAGAAGCCCCGGCUAACUUCGUGCCAGCAGCCGCGGUAAUACGAAGGGGGCUAGCGUUGUUCGGAAUUACUGGGCGGAAAGCGCACGUAGGCGGACAUUUAAGUCAGGGGUGAAAUCCCGGGGCUCAACCCCGGAACUGCCUUUGAUACUGGGUGUCUGGAGUAUGGAAGAGGUAAGUGGAAUUCCGAGUGUAGAGGUGAAAUUCGUAGAUAUUCGGAGGAACACCAGUGGCGAAGGCGGCUUACUGGUCCAUUACUGACGCUGAGGUGCGAAAGCGUGGGGAGCAAACAGGAUUAGAAACCCCUGUAGUCC